rnacentral:lncRNA from 1 species
CUCACUCUCUCUUUGCCUGCUGCCAUCCAUGUUAAGAUAUGACUUGCUCCUCGUCUUCCGCCAUUAUUGUGAGGCCUCCCCAGCCAUGUGAAACUAGUUUUGCUCUUUUUGCCCAGGCUGCAAUGGCGUGAUCUUGGCUCACCGCAACCUCCGCCUCCCGGAUUCAAGCGAUUCUCCUGCCUCAGCCUCCCAAGUAGCUGGAAUUACAGAUAAAUGUUUCAGAAUGCUGCCACCAACCAUCCUGCAACCAUGAGUGGCAAGCCCAAGACCAAAAACCAAAUAUUGAGGAUGGCAAAGAAAAAAGAAAGAGACUGGACUGUUGGGGACAUCACUGAGCCACUUUGCCAAACCUGGAGUUGCCUACCUUCAAAAGUUUUGUUAUAUGACAUAAUUAAUCUUUACUGCUUUGCCACUUCUGGUGGAAUAUUUUAUUACUAUCACCAGAAGCAUUUCUUGGCUUCAAUAACACACAUACUCCAGUGUCACCUGCUUCAAGAGCACUCUACUCAUAAUUCUGACUAAUGUACAUUUCCACAUGUCUGACCCAAAGGAGGAAGAGGCAGAGCAAGACGGCUCAAUAGAAGCCUCCACUAAUUGUCCUCCCCACUGGAACACCAAAUUGAACAACUAUCCACACAAAGAAGCACCUUCGUAAGAACCAAAAAUCAGGUGCCAGACAGAAAGUCAUCUCUCUGCUCAACUGAGACAAAUGCAGAUUCAUUGAGCCAGACUAAGGCAUAAGUGACUAUUCCUCUAUGUUCCCCAACAUGUAAAUUGUGGAUUCAGUGAAAGGCUGAUUGAAGAGUCAGAAGAAUGUAACUUUUUGUCUCUUAUCUACCUGGAACCACACCUUAUCUACCUGGAACUGUCCCCUCCCCGCCCCCCCAAUCCCGCCCUGUUUUGAGUUGUCCUGCCUUUCUGGACCAAAUCAAUGCACAUCUUACACAUAUUGAUUGAUGUCUCAUAUCUCCCUAAAAUGUGUAAAAGUGAGCUGUACCCUGACCACCUUGAGCACAUGUUGCCAGGACACAGCCUCCUGAGGGUACAUCUUUAACCUUGGCAAAAUAAACUUUCUAAAUUGAUUAAGGCCUGUCUCAGACACUUUGAGUUGACAAUACACAAAAACUAAAAAGGAAGAAAUUAAAAGAUACCACCAGAGAAAAUCGCAUUCACUAAAAGGAAGACCACAAAACAACCAGAAAACAAAUAACAAAAUGGCAGGCAUAAGUCCUUACUUAUCAAAAAUAGCAUUGAAUGUAAAUGAAAUAAACUCUCCAAUCAAAAGACAUACCAUGGCUGAAUGGAUUUAAAAACAAGACCCAAUGAUCUUUUGCCUACAAGAAACACAUUUCACCUAUAAAUAUAUGUAUAGACUAAAAAUAAAGGGAUGGAAAAAUAUAUUCCCUGCAAGUGGAAACCAAAAAUGAGUAGGAAUAGCUAUACUUACAUCAGAUAAAAUAGAUUUCAAGACAAAUGCUACCAUGCCCAGUUAAAUGUUUUUUUUUUUUAAAGUGUUUGUAGAGACAGGGGUCUUGCUAAGUUGCCCAGGCUGGUCUUGAACUCCCGGUCUCAAGCCAUCUUCCUGCAUCAGCCUCCCAAAGUGCUAUAGGCAUGAGCUACUGGGCCUGCACUGUUUUUCUUUUAAUAUUUUAGAGACAUUGUUCUACUAUCUGCUGGCUUGCAUUGUUUACACUGAGAAUCUUCUGUAAUUCUUAUGUUUGUCCCUCUGUAUGUAAUAUGCCUUUUUUCUCCUGCAUUUUUAACAUUUUCUCUUUGCCACUAA